GUCUUUUUAAUAUAAAAAGUAUACGUGGCUUCCAACCACCCAGCCUUGGUUAAAACCCAAGAAAAGAUA
rnacentral:tRNA from 1 species